AUGGCCACUUUGGCGGGUUCAUCCACCUAUGGAGAAGAUGAAGAACACACCCCCACUAGGGCAAAGGGCACCACCAACGAGCCGUUUGACGGCGGCGCGUUCACCCUAGAGGUGCUCGCGCACGCCGGCAAAGGGGUCAACGGGGGCGCCGCAUCUGGAAACCGCCGUCGCUCGCGCGAAGGGGAGCAGAGGAGUCUCUCUUGCGCUGGGGCACUGGUGGAUAGAAAGAAGAGAGGGAAGGGGAACGGCUCGCGCGGCGCAGUGGCACUCGCCGCCGUCCACGGCGGCCGGAGCGGCCCACAAGGGCGCUGCCCUUUUUUCCUCGACAGAGACGGCGCCGACGGGACAGAAGAAGAGAAAGAAGAAGGGAAACAGGAAAGAAAGAGACAGAGAAGGAGCUAG
rnacentral:rRNA from 1 species